CCGGCGCACGGGUGAGUAACACGUAUGCAACCUGGCCGUGACAGAUGGAUAACCGGGAGAAAUCCCGCCUAAUACAGCAUGACGCCGGGAAGGGACAUCCCUUUCCGGCCAAAGGGGGCGACUCCGGUCACGGAUGGGCAUGCGGCGCAUUAGGUAGUUGGUGGGGCAACGGCCCACCAAGCCGACGAUGCAUAGGGGUUCUGAGAGGAAGGUCCCCCACAUUGGAACUGAGACACGGUCCAAACUCCUACGGGAGGCAGCAG
rnacentral:rRNA from 1 species